rnacentral:rRNA from 1 species
CUACGGGAGGCAGCAGGGGGGAAUUUUCCGCAAUGGGCGAAAGCCUGACGGAGCAACGCCGCGUGAGGGAUGACGGAUCGUGGUCUGUAAACCUCUUUUCUUAACGAAGAAGACCUGACGGUAGUUAAGGAAUAAGCAUCGGCUAACUCCGUGCCAGCAGCCGCGGUAAGACGGAGGAUGCAAGUGUUAUCCGGAAUUACUGGGCGUAAAGCGUCUGUAGGUGGUUUAAUAAGUCAACUGUUAAAUCUUGAGGCUUAACUUCAAAACAGCAGUCGAAACUAUUAGACUAGAGUAUAGUAGGGGUAAAGGGAAUUUCCAGUGGAGCGGUGAAAUGCGUAGAUAUUGGAAAGAACACCGAUGGCGAAAGCACUUUACUGGGCUAUUACUAACACUCAGAGACGAAAGCUAGGGUAGCAAAUGGGAUUAGAUACCCCAGUAGUCCUAGCUGUAAACAAUGGAUACUAGAUGUUGAACAGAUCGACCUGUGCAGUAUUAAAGCUAACGCGUUAAGUAUCCCGCCUGGGAAGUAUGCUCGCAAGAGUGAAACUCAAAGGAAUUGACGG